UACGGAGGGUGCAAGCGUUAUCCGGAUUUAUUGGGUUUAAAGGGUCCGUAGGCGGACUUAUAAGUCAGUGGUGAAAGCCUGUCGCUCAACGAUGGAACUGCCAUUGAUACUGUUUUUCUUGAGUGUAAUUGAAGUGGGCGGAAUGUGUCAUGUAGCGGUGAAAUGCAUAGAUAUGACACAGAACACCGAUUGCGAAGGCAGCUCGCCAGCUGAGUAUUGACGCUGAGGCACGAAAGCGUGGGGAUCGAACAGG
rnacentral:rRNA from 1 species